GACGAACGCUGGCGGCGUGCUUAACACAUGCAAGUCGAACGGAAAGGCCCUGCUUGCAGGGUACUCGAGUGGCGAACGGGUGAGUAACACGUGGGUGAUCUGCCCUGCACUUCGGGAUAAGCCUGGGAAACUGGGUCUAAUACCGGAUAGGAGCCAUUUUUAGUGUGAUGGUUGGAAAGUUUUUUCGGUGUAGGAUGAGCUCGCGGCCUAUCAGCUUGUUGGUGGGAUAAUGGCCUACCAAGGCGGCGACGGGUAGCCGGCCUGAGAGGGUGGACGGCCACAUUGGGACUGAGAUACGGCCCAGACUCCUACGGGAGGCAGCAGUGGGGAAUAUUGCACAAUGGGCGCAAGCCUGAUGCAGCGACGCCGCGUGGGGGAUGACGGCCUUCGGGUUGUAAACUCCUUUCGCUAGGGACGAAGCUUUUGUGACGGUACCUAGAUAAGAAGCACCGGCUAACUACGUG
rnacentral:rRNA from 1 species